AACUGCUGACCUAGAAGCAUUCCAGAACCAUAUUCUGAUGUAUGCCAGCAAGCGUCAUGCUUUCAGUCCCCCAGUUUAUGAGGCAAGAGUUCUGCUGGCUGCUCUUGACUACAACUUCCAUCGGAACCGACCUACAAUGAAAACAGCCGAAGGCAAAGAGAUUUUCAGAAGGCUGUACAACAAAAACGCCAGAAGAUACAGUGUAUAUGCCCUGAAAUCUGAAAAAAA